AUUAGCUAGUUGGUGAGGUAAUGGCUCACCAAGGCGACGAUCCCUAGCUGGUCUGAGAGGAUGAUCAGCCACACUGGAACUGAGACACGGUCCAGACUCCUACGGGAGGCAGCAGUGGGGAAUAUUGCACAAUGGGCGCAAGCCUGAUGCAGCCAUGCCGCGUGUAUGAAGAAGGCCUUCGGGUUGUAAAGUACUUUCAGUCGUGAGGAAGGUGGUGUUGUUAAUAGCAGCAUCAUUUGACGUUAGCGACAGAAGAAGCACCGGCUAACUCCGUGCCAGCAGCCGCGGUAAUACGGAGGGUGCGAGCGUUAAUCGGAAUUACUGGGCGUAAAGCGCAUGCAGGUGGUGGAUUAAGUCAGAUGUGAAAGCCCGGGGCUCAACCUCGGAACCGCAUUUGAAACUGGUUCACUAGAGUACUGUAGAGGGGGGUAGAAUUUCAGGUGUAGCGGUGAAAUGCGUAGAGAUCUGAAGGAAUACCGGUGGCGAAGGCGGCCCCCUGGACAGAUACUGACACUCAGAUGCGAAAGCGUGGGGAGCAAACAGGAUUAGAUACCC
rnacentral:rRNA from 1 species